rnacentral:sRNA from 1 species
UGCUAGGCUGACUUGAGGAUGCUGG